rnacentral:rRNA from 1 species
GACGAACGCUGGCGGCACGCUUAACACAUGCAAGUCGAACGAAGAUAUUUCACCGUAGCUUGCUACACCGAGAUAUCUUAGUGGCGGACGGGUGAGUAACACGUGAGCAAUCUGCCUUUCAGAGGGGGAUACCUGUUGGAAACGACAGUUAAUACCGCAUAACAUAGUUUUAUCGCAUGAUGAGAUUAUCAAAGAUUUAUCGCUGAAAGAUGAGCUCGCGUCUGAUUAGAUAGUUGGUGAGGUAACGGCUCACCAAGUCAACGAUCAGUAGCCGGACUGAGAGGUUGAACGGCCACAUUGGGACUGAGAUACGGCCCAGACUCCUACGGGAGGCAGCAGUGGGGAAUAUUGGGCAAUGGGCGAAAGCCUGACCCAGCAACGCCGCGUGAAGGAGAAGGCCUUCGGUUGGUAAACUUCUUUUACCUAGGACGAAGAACGUAGACGGUACC